GGUCUAUAGGCUCUCCAGGUACCAUGGAUAAUUUCUCUUCUAAUGACCAUCCUUCUGACAAUGGAAACACUUUUUUUUGUCUGCAGUCUUCUUCGGAGUAUUCUUCUUUGGCUUUUUCUCUUUCUUCUGCUUCUUCACAGACUUGUUCCUCUUCUUCCUUGAAGACUUUCCUUUGGAAGAAUGUGCCUGCUCUGUAGCAAGAAUAGAGUCCCUUGAACUCUUCAAAGUUUUCUCUAUAGUAACCAAC
rnacentral:lncRNA from 1 species